rnacentral:rRNA from 1 species
GACGAAGGAUGCAAGCGUUAUCCGGAUUCAUUGGGUUUAAAGGGAGCGUAGGCGGUCUUGUAAGUCAGUGGUGAAAUCUCUUCGCUUAACGAAGAAACUGCCAUUGAUACUGCAGGACUUGAGUACAGAUGCUGUGGGCGGAAUAUGACACGUAGUGGUGAAAUGCUUAGAUAUGACAUAGAACACCAAUUGCGAAGGCAGCUUACUACACAACGAUUGACGCUGAGGCACGAAAGCGUGGGGAUCAAACAGG